CGGCGGGCAAGUCCGGGUGGUUCGUCGUCACCUGUAAUCCGAAAUCGUCGAUACGCGGAGGACGAAGCUGAUGGGCGACUUAAUGCGCCGCCUGUUCAGUCCAGCUGUGGACAAUGAUUCUCCGUCCUGUAGGGCCAGCACUGGCGUGAGGGCCAGCCGGAGGGCAGGUCUUUGCGUCUUAAUUGUGGGCACCGGUUCAGGCCCGGAAGGGAGCAGACCUACAGCAGUUCGCUGACGCUUACAUGAAGGCGGGGAUGAGAAAGCUCCUGGAUCAACUGGCAAGCGGCGUUUCUGGCAACCGUCGGCGCACCCGCCU
rnacentral:SRP_RNA from 1 species